UUCCCACCGCAAGGGUAAGACCCCAGAAAGACUAUCUGGUUGAUAGGUCGAAGGUGUAAGUGCAGCAAUGUAUUUAGCUUAUCGAUACUAAUAGGUCGAUGACUUGACCAAAAUUUAUU
rnacentral:rRNA from 1 species